AGAACGAACGCUGGCGGCGUGCUUAACACAUGCAAGUCGAACGCGAAAGGGACUUCGGUCCUGAGUAAAGUGGCGCACGGGUGAGUAACGCGUAGAUAACCUGUCUUCAUGUCUGGAAUAAUACGCCAAAGGGGUACUAAUACCGGAUAUUCUUGCUUUUCAUAAGUUAUGCAAGCAAAGGUGGCCUCUGCAUAUGCUACUGCAUGAAGAGGGGUCUGCGUACCAUUAGCUAGUAGGUGGGGUAAUGGCCUACCUAGGCGACGAUGGUUAGCGGGUCUGAGAGGAUGAUCCGCCACACUGGCACUGGAACACGGGCCAGACUCCUACGGGAGGCAGCAGUGAGGAAUAUUGCGCAAUGGGGGAAACCCUGACGCAGCGACGCCGCGUGAGUGAGGAAGGCCUUCGGGUCGUAAAGCUCUGUCAAGAGGAAAGAAGUGUACAAUGGCUAAUACCUGUUGUAUUUGACGGUACCUCUAAAGGAAGCACCGGCUAACUCCGUGCCAGCCGCCGC
rnacentral:rRNA from 1 species